CCUACGGGUGGCAGCAGUGAGGAAUAUUGGUCAAUGGACGGAAGUCUGAACCAGCCAUGCCGCGUGCAGGAAGACGGCUCUAUGAGUUGUAAACUGCUUUUGUACAAGGGUAAACCUGAAUACGUGUAUUCAGCUGAAAGUACUGUACGAAUAAGGAUCGGCUAACUCCGUGCCAGCAGCCGCGGUAAUACGGAGGAUCCAAGCGUUAUCCGGAUUUAUUGGGUUUAAAGGGAGCGUAGGCGGAUUGAUAAGUUAGAGGUGAAAUGUCCGAGCUUAACUCGGGAACUGCCUCUAAUACUGUUGAUCUAGAGAGUAGAUGCGGUAGGCGGAAUGUAUGGUGUAGCGGUGAAAUGCUUAGAGAUCAUACAGAACACCGAUUGCGAAGGCAGCUUACCAAUCUAUAUCUGACGUUGAGGCACGAAAGCGUGGGGAGCAAACAGGAUUAGAUACCCGAGUAGUC
rnacentral:rRNA from 1 species